rnacentral:misc_RNA from 1 species
UUGAAAUAAACUUGGUGUGGGUUGUAGCUGGCCUUUUUGGCAAGUGCUCGCCUUCAUCAUCUUUAUAUUUCCACCUGUGCACUUCUGUAGACGAGAAAGAAAAAGAGGAAUUAAUUUCUCUCAAGUAUUUCUUGCCUAUGCUUUUAAUAUACUCCAAAAAUGUAAUAGAAUGACAAUCUAUGGGCCUUUGCGCCUAUAAACAAAAAUUAUA